rnacentral:rRNA from 1 species
AAAUUCAAUUUAGUUUGAUUUAAAUUAAUUAUUUAUAAUAGAUUUUGUAGAGGAUGUUUAAUUAAAAUAUUAUAUUUUUUAUUAGUGAAAUUGAAAAAAUUUAUUUAAUUAUAGUGAAUUAGUAUUGUAAAAGAAUGGGUUUUAAAAAAUUUAAAGAAAAAUUAGGUUUUUGUACCUUGUGUAUCAGGGUUAAUUAAAUAAAAAAUUUAUUUAAAUUAUUCUCGAAUCUAGAAGAGCUAUUAUAUUAUAAUUUUUAUUGUAGAAUAAAUAUUAUAAAUAGUAUAAUUGAAAUGAAACGUUAUUCGUUUUUGGAUAUAUCUAGUUUUUAAAGAAAUAAAUUUAAUUUGUUAAUUUUUUAUUAUUAUACUUUAUUCUUAGUUGAAUAAUAAAAAUUGAUUAUAUUUUAAGGGAUAAGCUUUAAAAUAGAUUAUUAUAAGAAAUGUAAGGUUUAUAUGAGUUGUAGGAUUAGAAUUUUUUACCAUAGGAAAAAUGUUAUAAUUUACUAUAUGUUUAUUAUUAUUUUUAUUUUUUUUAAAUUUUCUAUUUAAAUAUAAAAUUGAAUUAUAGAAUUUUAGAAAUAAUGAUUAAAUUAGUAUAAUUAAGUUUACGUAAUAAUUUAUAUUAUUUAGGUUUUUAAAAGGAACUCGGCAAAUGCUUUUUUACCUGUUUAUUAAAAACAUGGCUUUUUGAGUUUUAUAUAAGGUCUAGCCUGCCCUAUGAGGAUUUAAAUGGCUGCGGUAUCCUGACCGUGCAAAGGUAGCAUAAUAAUUAGUUUUUUAAUUGGAAGCUGGAAUGAAAGGUUGGAUAAGGAAAGAACUGUCUCUUAAGAAUUUUAUUAGAACUUUAUUAUUAAGUUAAAAAGCUUAAAUUUAAUUUAAAGACGAGAAGACCCUUUAGAGUUUUAUUUAAAAAUAUUAUUUUAAUUCUUUAGUAUUAACAUAAUUAAUCUGAUAUUAUAAAUUUGGUUGGGGUGAUUGAAAAAUUUAAUUAACUUUUUUUUUAUAUUUACAUUUAUAAAUGAAUUGAUGAUCCAGAAAUUUUGAUUAUAAGAAUAAAUUACCUAAGGGAUAACAGCGUUAUUUUUUUUGAGAGUUCUUAUCGAAAAAAAAGAUUGCGACCUCGAUGUUGGAUUAAAAUUAAAUUAUAGUGCAGCAGCUAUAAAUUUAGGUCUGUUCGACCUUUAAAAUUUUACAUGAUCUGAGUUUAAACCGGCGUGAGCCAGGUUGGUUUCUAUCUUAAAUAUUAAUUAAUAUUUUAGUACGAAAGGAUUAAAUAUUAGAUUUAUAGUUUUAUUUUUGAAUAUUAGUAUUAUUUUGGCAGAUUAGUGCGAUAGAUUUAGAAUCUUUAGAUGUAAUUCCCUAUUUU